rnacentral:rRNA from 1 species
GACGAACGCUGGCGGCGUGCUUAACACAUGCAAGUCGAACGGAAAGGCCCUGCUUUUGUGGGGUGCUCGAGUGGCGAACGGGUGAGUAACACGUGAGUAACCUGCCCUUGACUUUGGGAUAACUUCAGGAAACUGGGGCUAAUACCGGAUAGGAGCUCCUGCUGCAUGGUGGGGGUUGGAAAGUUUCGGCGGUUGGGGCUGGACUCGCGGCUUAUCAGCUUGUUGGUGGGGUAGUGGCGUACCAAGGCUUUGACGGGUAGCCGGCCUGAGAGGGUGACCGGCCACAUUUGGACUGAGAUACGACCCAGACUCCUACGGGAGGCAGCAGUGGGGAAUAUUGCACAAUGGGCGGAAGCCUGAUGCAGCAACGCCGCGUGCGGGAUGACGGCCUUCGGGUUGUAAACCGCUUUCGCCUGUGACGAAGCGUGAGUGACGGUAAUGGGUAAAGAAGCACCGGCUAACUACGUG